AAAGAAACUGGCCAGCAGCCUAGGGUAAAGGAUCCUCACACACUGUGGUGACGGGUCUGUGCACAGACCAAGGAAGGAGAAGCUGCAGGAGCCGGUCCGUGGCUUCAUUCUUGAAGUUAGCGAGAUGGAGACCACAAGCCCACUGAAAGGAACCAACUGCAGACACAAUGCAUGUGAGAAAGACUCAGCCCUAUUUUCUGGCUUUGAAGCUGGAGGAAGGAGCCAGGAGCAAAAGAAUGAAGACAGUUUCCAGAAGCUGCAAAAGGGCAGGGACAGAUUCACUCCAGGAAGCCCCAGAAACAAACACAGUCCUGCUGACACCUUGAUUUCAAUCCAGUGAGACAUAUUUUGGACUUCUGACCUACAGAGCUAAAAUAAUAGUAAGAUAAUAAAGUUAUGUUGCCACCACUGAAAA
rnacentral:lncRNA from 1 species